AUGUAUAUUGUAAAUGGACAGUGUCAAACUUUUUACCUUUUCUCCCUAGACUUUGUCAUAAGCCUCUUAUAUUACACAGUCCCAACGCACAAUGUGGACGGCCUGCCGACCAUAGGCUCCGCGCGCUGGCAUCUCAGCCCCGCCUCUGGCCCCCACCACCUGCCCGGCGCCCCGCCCCUUCCGGCCCCGCCCUCGGUCUCCUGGCAACGGCCCCACCUCCUGCCUAUGCCCCGCCCCUUCCGGCCCCGCCGCCUGGCGCCCUCCGCGGCCUCUACGCCUGGCUGCACGGGCUCCCGCUCAGCCGCCCCAAGCGCCACCUGGCCCGGGACUUCAGCGACGGCGGAAAGUCUUUCACAAGUUACGUUUGUGUAUCUCCGAGGUGGAUAUCCAAAAGGUGGUGGCCAACACACCCGGGGCCAUCGAGCCCAUCUUGUGUGCACUGAGGGAAAAGGUGGAGGACCGCACUGCUCAGGAGGACCCACCCGGCGCAGACUCAGGACCCAGCUGGAGGGCCCUGGGAACACGCAGACCCCAGGGUGCAGCAGCUGCUGGAGGAGAAGGAGCAGGCUCUGGCUCUCCUGCAGGAGUCAGUCAAGGAAAGUGAUAUCAUCAUGUGGUUUGCGUUUGCUGAACGACAGCAGAGAGGAAGAGAGAGGAGAGAUGAGGCUGCUGUCUCAGCAAGGUCACUGGUGGCCCUCGUGGCCACGCCUGGUCUGGUCCUGGUGCUAACAAAGUGAAUCCUAACUACUUUAUUUUACAAAACCCCGAGGGGAAAAUAGUUCCAUCUGCCAUUUAAAAUGGUGACACGUUGAGUGCUGUUCCUGUCAUUGUCACUGGUGUGAGGUACUCCACAUGGGAUGAAAUAGACACCCGGGGACC
rnacentral:lncRNA from 1 species